UACGGGGGGGCAAGCGUUGUUCGGAAUUACUGGGCGUAAAGGGCUCGUAGGCGGCCAACUAAGUCGGAUGUGAAAUCCCCAGGCUUAACCUGGGAACUGCAUCCGAUACUGGAUGGCUUGAAUCCGGGAGAGGGAUGCAGAAUUCCAGGUGUAGCGGUGAAAUGCGUAGAUAUCUGGAGGAACACCGGUGGCGAAGGCGGUUCUCUGGGCCUUACCUGACGCUGAGGAGCGAAAGCAUGGGGGAGCAAACAGG
rnacentral:rRNA from 1 species